CCUACGGGGAGCAGCAGUAGGGAAUUUUUCACAAUGGGCGAAAGCCUGAUGGAGCAACGCCGCGUGCAGGAUGAAGGCCUUCGGGUUGUAAACUGCUUUUAUAAGCGAGAAAUAUGAUGGUAACUUAUGAAUAAGGAUCGGCUAACUACGUGCCAGCAGCCGCGGUCAUACGUAGGAUCCGAGCAUUAUCCGGAGUGACUGGGUGUAAAGAGUUGCGUAGGUGGCAUAAUAAGUAGCUAGUGAAAUCUGGUGGCUCAACCAUUCAGACUAUUAGCUAAACUGUUAAGCUCGAGACCGUUAGGGGUAACUGGAAUUUCUAGUGUAGGAGUGAAAUCCGUAGAUAUUAGAAGGAACACCAAUAGCGUAGGCAGGUUGCUGGGACGGUUCUGACACUAAGGCACGAAAGCGUAGGGAGCAAACGGGAUUAGAUACCCCAGUAGUC
rnacentral:rRNA from 1 species